rnacentral:rRNA from 1 species
GAACGCCUGUAGCAAUACAGGAGUGGCGCACGGGUGAGUAACGCGUGGGAACCUGCCCUGGAGUGGGGGAUAACCCGGGGAAACCCGGACUAAUACCGCAUACGACCUUCGGGUGAAAGCGGGGGACCGUAAGGCCUCGCGCGAUUGGAUGAGCCGAUGCCGGAUUAGCUUGUUGGCGGGGUAACGGCCCACCAAGGCGACGAUCCGUAGCUGGUCUGAGAGGAUGAUCAGCCACACUGGGACUGAGACACGGCCCAGACUCCUACGGGAGGCAGCAGUGGGGAAUAUUGGACAAUGGGGGCAACCCUGAUCCAGCAAUGCCGCGUGUGUGAAGAAGGCCUUCGGGUUGUAAAGCACUUUUAUCGGGAACGAAACAUUGUCGGCCAAUACCCGGCAAGACUGACGGUACCCGAGGAAUAAGCACCGUCUAACUCCGUGCCAGCAGCCGCGGUAAU